UACGUAGGGUGCGAGCGUUGUCCGGAAUCAUUGGGCGUAAAGAGCGUGUAGGCGGCCCGGUAAGUCCGCUGUGAAAGUCGGGGGCUCAACCCUCGAAUGCCGGUGGAUACUGUCGGGCUAGAGUGCGGAAGAGGCGAGUGGAAUUCCUGGUGUAGCGGUGAAAUGCGCAGAUAUCAGGAGGAACACCGAUUGCGAAGGCAGCUCGCUGGGACGUCACUGACGCUGAGACGCGAAAGCGUGGGGAGCAAACAGG
rnacentral:rRNA from 1 species